CAGUCGCCGCGGGAAUACGAAGGGGGCUAGCGUUGCUCGGAUUUACUGGGCGUAAAGGGCGCGUAGGCGGACAGUUAAGUUGGGGGUGAAAGCCCGGGGCUCAACCUCGGAAUUGCCUUCAAUACUGGCUGUCUUGAGUACGGGAGAGGUGUGUGGAACUCCGAGUGUAGAGGUGAAAUUCGUAGAUAUUCGGAAGAACACCAGUGGCGAAGGCGACACACUGGCCCGUUACUGACGCUGAGGCGCGAAAGCGUGGGGAGCAAACAGGAUUAGAUACCCCCGUAGUCCCUGUCUCUUAUAC
rnacentral:rRNA from 1 species